ensembl:misc_RNA Metazoa_SRP Metazoan signal recognition particle RNA
GCCGGGCAUGGUGGCACAUGCCUGUAGUCCCAGCUACUCGGGAGGCUGAGGCAGGAGAAUCGCUUGAACCCAGGAGGCAGAGGUUGCAGUGAGCCAAGAUCGUGCCAUUGCACUCCAGCCUGGGUGACAGAGUGAGACUCUGUCUCAA